rnacentral:tRNA from 1 species
GUAGCUCAGUUGGUAGAGCACCGGCUUGUGGUGCCGGUGGCCGCGGGUUCAAGUCCCGUC